CACUAUCGUUAACUGAAUACAUAGGUUAACGAGGCGAACCGGGGGAACUGAAACAUCUAAGUACCCCGAGGAAAAGAAAUCAACCGAGAUUCCCCCAGUAGCGGCGAGCGAACGGGGAGCAGCCCAGAGUCUGAAUCAGCUUGUGUGUUAGUGGAACGGUCUGGAAAGUCCGACGGUACAGGGUGAUAGUCCCGUACACCAAAAUGCACAGGUUGUGAACUCGAAGAGUAGGGCGGGACACGUGGUAUCCUGUCUGAAUAUGGGGGGACCAUCCUCCAAGGCUAAAUACUCCUGACUGACCGAUAGUGAACCAGUACCGUGAGGGAAAGGCGAAAAGAACCCCGGCGAGGGGAGUGAAAAAGAACCUGAAACCGUGUACGUACAAGCAGUGGGAGCACCUUCGGGUGUGACUGCGUACCUUUUGUAUAAUGGGUCAGCGACUUAUAUUCUGUAGCAAGGUUAACCGUAUAGGGGAGCCGCAGGGAAACCGAGUCUUAACUGGGCGUUAAGUUGCAGGGUAUAGACCCGAAACCCGGUGAUCUAGCCAUGGGCAGGUUGAAGGUUGGGUAACACUAACUGGAGGACCGAACCGACUAAUGUUGAAAAAUUAGCGGAUGACUUGUGGCUGGGGGUGAAAGGCCAAUCAAACCGGGAGAUAGCUGGUUCUCCCCGAAAGCUAUUUAGGUAGCGCCUCGUGAAUUCAUCUUCGGGGGUAGAGCACUGUUUCGGCUAGGGGGUCAUCCCGACUUACCAACCCGAUGCAAACUACGAAUACCGAAGAAUGUUAUCACGGGAGACACACGGCGGGUGCUAACGUCCGUCGUGAAGAGGGAAACAACCCAGACCGCCAGCUAAGGUCCCAAAGUCAUGGUUAAGUGGGAAACGAUGUGGGAAGGCACAGACAGCCAGGAUGUUGGCUUAGAAGCAGCCAUCAUUUAAAGAAAGCGUAAUAGCUCACUGGUCGAGUCGGCCUGCGCGGAAGAUGUAACGGGGCUAAACCAUGCACCGAAGCUGCGGCAGCGACACUAUGUGUUGUUGGGUAGGGGAGCGUUCUGUAAGCCUGCGAAGGUGNUGCUGGAGGUAUCAGAAGUGCGAAUGCUGACAUAAGUAACGAUAAAGCGGGUGAAAAGCCCGCUCGCCGGAAGACCAAGGGUUCCUGUCCAACGUUAAUCGGGGCAGGGUGAGUCGACCCCUAAGGCGAGGCCGAAAGGCGUAGUCGAUGGGAAACAGGUUAAUAUUCCUGUACUUGGUGUUACUGCGAAGGGGGGACGGAGAAGGCUAUGUUAGCCGGGCGACGGUUGUCCCGGUUUAAGCAUGUAGGCUGAUUGUCCAGGCAAAUCCGGAUAAUCAAGGCUGAGGUGUGAUGACGAGGCACUACGGUGCUGAAGUAACAAAUGCCCUGCUUCCAGGAAAAGCCUCUAAGCAUCAGGUAACAUCAAAUCGUACCCCAAACCGACACAGGUGGUCAGGUAGAGAAUACCAAGGCGCUUGAGAGAACUCGGGUGAAGGAACUAGGCAAAAUGGUGCCGUAACUUCGGGAGAAGGCACGCUGGUGUGUAGGUGAAGCCCCUGCGGGUGGAGCUGAGACCAGUCGAAGAUACCAGCUGGCUGCAACUGUUUAUUAAAAACACAGCACUGUGCAAACACGAAAGUGGACGUAUACGGUGUGACGCCUGCCCGGUGCCGGAAGGUUAAUUGAUGGGGUUAUCCGUAAGGAGAAGCUCUUGAUCGAAGCCCCGGUAAACGGCGGCCGUAACUAUAACGGUCCUAAGGUAGCGAAAUUCCUUGUCGGGUAAGUUCCGACCUGCACGAAUGGCGUAAUGAUGGCCAGGCUGUCUCCACCCGAGACUCAGUGAAAUUGAACUCGCUGUGAAGAUGCAGUGUACCCGCGGCAAGACGGAAAGACCCCGUGAACCUUUACUAUAGCUUGACACUGAACAUUGAGCCUUGAUGUGUAGGAUAGGUGGGAGGCUUUGAAGCGUGGACGCCAGUCUGCGUGGAGCCAACCUUGAAAUACCACCCUUUAAUGUUUGAUGUUCUAACGUUGGCCCCUUACCGGGGUUGCGGACAGUGUCUGGUGGGUAGUUUGACUGGGGCGGUCUCCUCCCAAAGCGUAACGGAGGAGCACGAAGGUUAGCUAAUCCUGGUCGGACAUCAGGAGGUUAGUGCAAUGGCAUAAGCUAGCUUGACUGCGAGCGUGACGGCGCGAGCAGGUGCGAAAGCAGGUCAUAGUGAUCCGGUGGUUCUGAAUGGAAGGGCCAUCGCUCAACGGAUAAAAGGUACUCCGGGGAUAACAGGCUGAUACCGCCCAAGAGUUCAUAUCGACGGCGGUGUUUGGCACCUCGAUGUCGGCUCAUCACAUCCUGGGGCUGAAGUAGGUCCCAAGGGUAUGGCUGUUCGCCAUUUAAAGUGGUACGCGAGCUGGGUUUAGAACGUCGUGAGACAGUUCGGUCCCUAUCUGCCGUGGGCGCUGGAGAAUUGAGGGGGGCUGCUCCUAGUACGAGAGGACCGGAGUGGACGCAUCACUGGUGUUCGGGUUGUCAUGCCAAUGGCACUGCCCGGUAGCUAAAUGCGGAAGAGAUAAGUGCUGAAAGCAUCUAAGCACGAAACUUGCCCCGAGAUGAGUUCUCCCUGAGACUUUAAGUCUCCUGAAGGAACGUUGAAGACGACGACGUUGAUAGGCCGGGUGUGUAAGCGCAGCGAUGCGUUGAGCUAACCGGUACUAAUGAACCGUGAGGCUUAACCUU
rnacentral:rRNA from 1 species